UACGAAGGGGGGCUAGCGUUGCUCGGAAUUACUGGGCGUAAAGCGCACGUAGGCGGCUUUCUAAGUCGGGGGGUGAAAUCCUGGAGCUCAACUCCAGAACUGCCUCGAUACUGGAGAGCUCGAGUCCGGGAGAGGUGAGUGGAACUGCGAGUGUAGAGGUGAAAUUCGGUAGAUAUUCGCAAGAACACCAGUGGCGAAGGCGGCUGCAG
rnacentral:rRNA from 1 species